rnacentral:rRNA from 1 species
GAUGAACGCUGGCGGCGUGCCUAAUACAUGCAAGUCGAGCGAAUGGAUUAAGAGCUUGCUCUUAUGAAGUUAGCGGCGGACGGGUGAGUAACACGUGGGUAACCUGCCCAUAAGACUGGGAUAACUCCGGGAAACCGGGGCUAAUACCGGAUAACAUUUUGAACCGCAUGGUUCGAAAUUGAAAGGCGGCUUCGGCUGUCACUUAUGGAUGGACCCGCGUCGCAUUAGCUAGUUGGUGAGGUAACGGCUCACCAAGGCAACGAUGCGUAGCCGACCUGUGAGGGUGUUCGGCCACACUGGGACUGAGACACGGCCCAGACUCCUACGGGAGGCAGCGGUAGGGAAUCUUCCGCAAUGGACGAAAGUCUGACGGAGCAACGCCGCGUGAGUGAUGAAGGCUUUCGGGUCGUAAAACUCUGUUGUUAGGGAAGAACAAGUGCUAGUUGAAUAAGCUGGCACCUUGACGGUACCUAACCAGAAAGCCACGGCUAACUACGUGCCAGCAGCCGCCGCAG